rnacentral:rRNA from 1 species
AUUGAACGCUGGCGGAAUGCUUUACACAUGCAAGUCGAACGGUAGAGGGGGCAACCCCUCGAGAGUGGCGAACGGGUGAGUAAUAUAUCGGAACGUGCCCAGUCGUGGGGGAUAACGUAGCGAAAGUUACGCUAAUACCGCAUACGAUCUAAGGAUGGAAGCGGGGGAUCGCAAGACCUCGCGCGAUUGGAGCGGCCGAUAUCAGAUUAGGUAGUUGGUGGGGUAAAGGCUCACCAAGCCAACGAUCUGUAGCUGGUCUGAGAGGACGACCAGCCACACUGGAACUGUGACACGGUCCAGACUCCUACGGGAGGCAGCAGUGGGGAAUUUUGGACAAUGGACGCAAGUCUGAUCCAGCCAUUCCGCGUGCAGGAUGAAGGCCCCCGGGUUGUAAACUGCUUUUGUACGGAACGAAAAGGUCUCUCUUAAUACGGGGGACUCAUGACGGUACCGUAAGAAUAAGCACCGGCUAACUACGUGCCAGCCGCCGCAGUAA